rnacentral:sRNA from 1 species
AUAUCAGUAUUAUGAUUAUGAUUGCUUAUUUCUGCAUAAUAAUACUAUUUUGCAUUAUCAUGCCAACCUUGAAUUGAGAGUUUUAAAACAACUUUCAGUGACUGCUAUUUCUGGCUUUUCUCCUGACAGGUUAAAAGAUUAAGAGUUUCUCUAACCACGGCUACCCUCUAAAAGUCACAUUUUCCCCCUUUUUCCAGUCACUCUCUGAAAGAGAACGAAGUAAUUUUCUGAAGGGAAGCUGCAGAAUAUGGAAAACAUAUAUUGGAGCUACAUGGACAUUUCAAGGUUGAUAAAGAACCUCUACAUGAAAAUAUUGAAAUGUUUAAGCAGCCUCUGAAGUCUUUCUUAAGCCUCAUAAUAAUGGAUGGACUUUAGAAAGCUAAAAAUCAUUUCAAAUAUGCUGAUCAUUUUUAAAUUUUUUUACUCA